GCUCCCGUAGCUCAAUCAUAGAGCGCCGCGCUUCGAACGCGGAGGUUGAGGGUGGGAUUCCUUCCGGGAGUGCCA
rnacentral:tRNA from 1 species